rnacentral:lncRNA from 12 species
AAGUGUGCAUGUGUGUCUAUGUAUUUGUGACAGACAAGCACUACUCAACAGGAGAUCCAGCCACUGGGCUUCACAGUGCCUGCUAGGCCUCACUAUUGAUGAUGGACACUGCUGUCACCCCCCAAAACAGCUGCUUCUCAG